UCUAGGAGCCAUUGUGGCUUCACCAAAUGUGGCCUGGGUGGACGUCUCUGGAACUUGACUGCUCUCAGCUUUCUCCAGACGCUCUGAGUCACAGUCUCCCACAUAGAGCCCUCAGCGCAUUUAGGGAUGAGGCAUUUGCCUGCUUCCUAAAUCUCCCGCCAGGUGCUAGGUGUGCUGAGCUGGAGGGUUAGGACCUGGGGUGAGGCAGGGGAUUGGUGUGAAGGGCAUCUCUCAUAGGACAAGACCCCGGCAGUAGCUCGCUGUGCAAUACCGGCAGAAAGGACUCCUCGCCUCAACAUGACACACUCAGGGCUCCACUCCAGCCGCAGAGCUCCCUGCUGAUGAAGUCCACGGGAUUAUCACACAGAAUGGUUGGCGACCCCAAGGCCAAACCUGGCAGCCCAAGACUUGGUGCCCAGAGAGUGUCUUGGGGCACGCUAUACAACAGAGGCAGGCCCAGUCUGGUGGCACCAUGGAUAGAAAACUGAACUGCAGUGCUGGAAGCCACAUGGGUGACCGUCAGUUCCGACAUCUGACUUGAUCUGAAAACAUUUGUGCUCAAGAUCUUGGGGAGCUAGAGUGCUGAGAAAAGGGGAUGUGGCAUGGAGGGUACUUUUCUCUCUCUUUC